UUUUCGAUAAACCCCCACUUUUCGCUCUCUAAAUUCAUCAGCAGUUCGCAGCUCUAGUAUACGCGAUACCAUUUUCGUGACCAUAUAUGGUCAUGUUUGCUGUGCUGCAGUGAAAAAUCGUAAAGCGAUUUCUCGAAUUACCCCUACUGGCGAAAAGAAGUAACUUCAUUUUUCUAUUUAUCAUGUUCGCAGCGCGUGUACGAUACAUUAGUGUGAGUGAGCCAGACAUACUAUAGGUGAAGAAAGAUUAAGUAGAGGGGACUUUAACAGCCGAUACCAUAAAAGAGCUUCUUCGACAAAACCGGCAUUUUCUACUAUACCUUAUACAUACAUAUGUAUGUAUAUGUACAUCUAUGUAAGCUUUAGCUUUUUGUUUGAUCAAAAAGGCAACUGAAACGAAUUAACGGUUAAAAACUUGGAAUUCUUGAAUUAAAGAGUGCGGAAAAAACAAGGGCGGAAGAGCAAAAAAUGAGUCAAGUUCAAAUGUGGGCAGCGUUGUACAUUAGAUGCAUAUAUAUGUUGGUGUAUCUAACUAUACAUACAUAUAUGGAAAUACAUAGUAAUGUGUUUUACGACUAUGGACGCUUUUAGGGUGCGGCAAUUUUUAACCAGCAUAUAGUGCAAUUUUCGGCUUUUGCAUUUGCUCAUGCAUACAUAUGUACAUAUGUAUGCACUCGUUGUUUGCAUGCAUGUGGGACAUAUUAAUGUCGAAGCCGGCUUACGCCAUGACGUGUUUCUCUCGUUCGCAAAGAGACAGCUGGGUAGUCCAACAAAAGCGACUAAAACUGUAAAUUGUGAUGGCGAACAGUCAACUUUCUUUUCAAUUGAAUUUGCAAAAAGUGUGUGAAUUUGUAUUGUUAAAAACAAUUUUGGGUGAAAAUAUCUAUUAAAAUGAAUACGAAAUGAAAGUGAAAUCAUUUUUAAUUCAAAAAACAAACUCUGAAUACAAAAGUGACUUUAUGUACGGCACAACUCUUCAAGCGAAAAAUGUUCAGGCGUGCUAACAAUACACAAUUUAAUGUGGGAGUUACUGGGAAUGUUAAGACGACAAGGGCGUUGUCGAGGUCAAUGUCUACUACCUCAACGUAGUCUCCAGCCUGACUCAUGCUACUGCAUAUGAAAUGUAUAUGCAUUUAUAUAUACAUACAUAAGUACAUUCGUACACAUCCAUAGCAUCGGAAGUGGCUUACAAUUGGAAUUUGAAAGUAUGUUCCGUUCUCGAAACUACAGGUAAGUGGCCACGCCCGUUAAUUUUUAAAUUUUGCCAUGUGAUUCAAUUUGAUAAUAGAUUUAGUUUUUUUUUUAAUCGCCUAACGACAUUCUAACAUAAUCAAAUGUAUUCACACAGGUGUGUACGCCAUAAAUGAGAUAAGCACAAUCUUAUCAAGCGUACACUUAAUACGCCCAAGGUCCAAAACUUUAUUGCAUAACUUGAUGUGAUUUCCGCACAUGACAAUUCGCAAAAUAUGCCAGUUUUAAUCAUUUUCCUUCAGUUCUAUUCAUAACUUUUCACUUUUUGUAAAUACUCUUUAGAAUAUAUUUAUUCAAAUUUAUUUUUCACUUGUUGAUAAUUCAUAUAGCUUUAUUCAUAUUUUGCUUUCAUAUAAUCCAAACGUUUCGUAAACGUUAGUAGUUAAAAUUGUUCAAAUUUUCACUAUUUAUUUCAGAUAUGAGUAUCUGAGAAUUUUUCAAUUAUUCUCACUUUUUCGAUUGGCACUGUUAAGUCUUAGCGUUUUUCACAAAUUUCAAAAUGUUUCGUUUUGAUUUUUUAAAAAUACUUACUUUUGUUAAAGUUUUAAGUUUACUAAAAAUUAAUUAAUAUUAUUUGAAGUCUUAUUGGACUUUGUGUUGAGUUGCUGCUGUGCCUUUCUGUAUCGCACACACUACAAGAACGCAAAAUGUAAUGAUACCAAAACACGUUAACACGCGCUUAUAAAGGCCCCAACUACGCCAGUGGCUCCUUAUCAGUAAAGACUCUAACUUUUACCAUAUAUGGAUGUGGAACCGCCGGCCGUAGAUACUAGAGAAUUUCUCGCUUACCGCUUUACCCGGCUUAAAAGGGUGUAAGUGUGAACAGUAUGGCGAUAGUGAGUAGAGAGAGAUGUACUACAUGAUUUGACGAAUGGUUACUCGCUCUCAAACUCUCUCUGCGCUCAAAAUUGCAAAUAAUCAGUGUUGUUUCUGCAUCUCAAUACUCGAUAGUAUAUGCAUAUGGGCAAAUUGUAUAUAGUGUUUGUAUAUAUUUGAAAUUGUGUUUUUUUUUAAUAUUUUAUCAAAAUUUCUUGUUAUCAAUUGAUAUGAAAUUGCUUUCUGAGCUGUUAGAACAUGUCGCUUAUCAAUACAAUGAAAUGCUUAACGUUACUCUGUUGUGUACAUAUGUACAUAUGAAACUACAAAUAUGCAUUUUAUGAAAAAAAGUACUUAACGUAUAUCGAACCAAAUUUACAUUAAAUUUCCAUCUUUUAUCAGCAUAUUUCUAAAAAAUCUAAAAAAAAAAUAUUUUCAUAUUUUAUCCCAUGCAUUCAAUGUAAUAUAAAUGCAACAUUGAAAUAUAUUUUGUAAACUCUCCUUUUCUCUCAACUUUUCCCCUUGCACACAAAAAUGGUGGCAAUAAAAUAUCGUUGAACGCGAAAGAGAGUUUAGUAUUUUUUUGCUAAAGUCUGUCUCUGGAGGGGAAAGCCGGAAAGUGAAUAAGAAAUAUCGGUUUAAUUUUUCGUUUAUUUUGUUUGAGGUUUAAAGUUGAUUUUCGGUUACAAAAUAGACUUUUUAUGUGCAUAUUUCAAUAGAACAUAAAAUCUACUGCUUUUUUAGUAGAUAUAAAUGUAAAUAUAAAUGUGUAUUUUUAUUUCUAAUACUAUAUUGCGGCAUUUAACACUAUUUUAUUGAAAGAUUGCAAUAAAUAACAAAUACACUUAAUAUGUGGUUUGCUUUCUCACACACUUUUGUAUAUAUGUACAUACGUACAUAUGUAUGUAUGAAUAUAUUUCUGUGAGCAUGAGGAGCAAAUGUAUACAAGUUUGGCUUGAAUUUCAUUGUGACUCACAACUAGAUAUGGAAGUAAAUAUUUUUGUUUUAACGUCUAAAAUGUUAAUGCAUACACAUAUGCUUGUAUAUACAUACAUACCUCACAUAUACAUAAAUAUAUAUUUAUAUGUUUUGUAUUCUAUAUACCACAUAAACUCGCAAUACAAAUUUGUAUCUGUACAUAAAUGUCGCUUCUUGCAAGAAUCAUGUUGUUAUUGCUUUUGUUGUUGUUGGUUUCUGAGCACCCUUGCACAUUUGGUUUUGAAGAUAAAGACCGUCUGGAUACAUUUGUAUGCACAUACAUACAUAUUUCUCAUACAUAAGCAUGUGUGCACGCGGAAUUGCAUAUGGUUUUAAACGCGGAGUCGGUAUCAAGGCGUUGCCGGCAUCGAAUGUGUGCAAUGGUUAUAGUUUUAGCAGCUGACUAAUUUACUUUGGCUGUUUUCUUAGAACAUUCGUAUACUCUUUUGUGCUACUGCCCGUGGGUUACAGUCGUAUUAAAGUCGACUCUAAAUAAAU